UACCAGCACCCCGAGUGGUCGGGACGAUUAUUGGGCCUAAAGCAUCCGUAGCCGGCCUUACAAGUCCUCCGUUAAAUCCAGCUGCUUAACAGAUGGGCUGCGGAGGAUACUAUAAGACUAGGAGGCAGGAGAGGCAAGCGGUACUCAGUGGUAGGGGUAAAAUCCGUUGAUCCAUUGAAGACCACCAGUGGCGAAGGCGGCUUGCCAGAAUGCGCUCGACGGUGAGGGAUGAAAGCUGGGGGAGCAAACCGG
rnacentral:rRNA from 1 species